rnacentral:rRNA from 1 species
UUAUAAGAGACAGCAGCAGCCGCGGGAAUACGUAGGGUGCAAGCGUUAAUCGGAAUUACUGGGCGUAAAGCGUGCGCAGGCGGUCCGCUAAGACAGAUGUGAAAUCCCCGGGCUUAACCUGGGAACUGCAUUUGUGACUGGCGGGCUAGAGUAUGGCAGAGGGGGGUAGAAUUCCACGUGUAGCAGUGAAAUGCGUAGAGAUGUGGAGGAAUACCGAUGGCGAAGGCAGCCCCCUGGGCCAAUACUGACGCUCAUGCACGAAAGCGUGGGGAGCAAACAGGAUUAGAUACCCCCGUAGUCCCUGUCUCUUAUAC